AUAGAUCUACUAGUAUAUUUUCGUUGUUAAUCUCUAAGAAAGUGAUUUUUCCAUGAUUUCAACUUUAACCUUGAAUAACU